AAAAAAAAAAGUACAUAACAAUUUGAGCGAAUAUACACAAAUUGCCUGAUUCUUACUAGGAACUCUUAUCUGUACACCUGAAAUUUAACUGCUCAGAAAGCUUCAAUUUACCAUCUACUCAGCUGUCAAGGUAGUUGGAUGGAUUUGGCAUCAACAAAAUGCAUGGAGAAAAUGCAUCUUGUACCAAACUCUAUCAGUGCAAAACACAUUCCUGUUGUAGUACGUUGUAUCAAACAGAAGGCAGAUUUCUGGCUGACUUGCAAAGCUACAAGAUAAUGUCCUGAAACAUAUCAAAUUGAAUUUGUAAAAAUAUGACACAGUUUGCAUUAAGUGGUGCAGUAGUUUUCCAAAGAAAAUGACAGGAAGUUUAUUCAGACUAAUAUUACCUCUCAAUCUGGACUGGCCACCCUGCAAAUCAUAUAUUUGGGAUUUUUACAUACAUAAACAGUACACGCUCAACCUAGAAGUGACGUAUUUUACAUGGAAGCAUGAGAAUAAGAAACUGUUCCACGUUCCCAGCCACAUAAAUACAUUUGUCACAGAGCUACUAAGAGCCUCCUAUGCUAUUAAAAUAACAAGAUGACGGUCCCAUAUUCCACACGAGGCAAACCAAAAAAUGCAUGCUAGUGCGUGGUUAGUACUGGCAAAUUUUGCCCUUAAAUGAUUUAUCAUAUAUAAAUUUUCUAGCAUCAAAGUCUUGCAGUGUCUCUUACAACUCUUCAAAACAUGUGCAAUAUUUAAAGGACGUUAACAACUCUUUAAAAUGUGCAUUCCUCUCAGUUAGCCUCUUAUAAAUGAUCACAAUCCGUCACCAGUAACCAUGUUAUGACUUGCAUAAUUCUGCUAAGGCAAAGGACAUAAUUUUAGGACUACAUAAAGCAGUAGGUCCUCAUACCAACUUAUUUCAUAAAUCUUCAAGAAAGAAGAAAAUACCUAGUUAAACAAAAAAUGUUGAUUAAUUCCAUGGUUGUGACAAAGAAACAGUUGGACUUGAUGCCUCUAGUCCUCGUUUUCCAUGUAUGGCAGAUUUAAGCACAUUGUAUUGCUCAGUCACAGAAUCAUAUAGAACCUGUGCAUAUGCCUUCUUAGCCUCUUCAGGGUUUUCACAAGCAGCAGCAAUUUCAGAAAAUCCGAUUUCCGGUGCAAUUGACAAUCCAGCCCCAUGAAAGGAGAUCACUCUUUUCUCUCCGAUCUCUUUUUCCACCUGCAGUGGAGGGGGCAUGAUGUCAUGGCAUAAUAAUGCUAAGGGAUAAAUAUGUCCUGGAGCACCAGAAUGUUCAGCAAGCCUUCUCAUGUUGUCCACUGAAGCAGCUUCAAAUGGUGCUGGAUACCAUUCUCCAGUCAGAGGAUCUGGGCGGUCCCUACCACCACUUGGGGCAAUCCACACUAUUUGUGAACCAUCCCUCAAAAUCACGGCCAUCUCCUUCAAACUUCGUAUGUUUGCUUUUUUCUUCAUCUCAGUAAGUUCAGGAUCAUCAUACAUGUGUUUUUUUGAGUACACACAAAUAAGAUUCCUGCCCAUACUGAAUGGCUUGCAAAGAGGAUCUGUUAAAACUCUAUCCCCUGCUACAUAGAUCAAGUUUUCAGCAAUAGAGGGAUUUGUUUUGUCAAGCAAUAGCGCAAUGACGGCAGGGUCUGCUUCAGUUUGGUGGUUUGAUAUCAAGACAAUAUUGUGACCCUGUUGAAGCUGUUUUUCAACUUCAUGGAAAAGGGAUAUAUUGCCAACAUAUGAAUUCCUAAAAUCAACCAAAGGACGUAUAUAGUUUUGACCAAAGUUAUAGUAGUCGAAGGGCUCUCUCAAUGCUUUGUGAUAAGGUGAGAAGACAAAAGGGUCCUCAACAUCCAAGCACAUACGAUCCAUUGCAACAGCCAUAUUUGACAAUAUUAUCUCUUCGGCAUUGGGAAUUCCACUUUGUAAAACUGCAUUUUUAUAAUUCUGAUACACUUCUUCCAUCCCUGCAGCAACAUUUAAAGGCAACCUCCCUGCUUCCACUUCCUUCCUAAUUCCAGACAGCAACUCUCCUUCCGUUGUCGCAUCAAGAAAAGUUCGCCGGUGACUAGGCUUUUCCUUCUUCUUCUCCUCCUCCUUCUCGCCUGACGCUGAAGCGAUAGCUUCUUUGUCCUCCUUAACGAGCUGAGACAUUGCAUUAGCGUUUAUAGAAGAGAUCAAGUAAGGACAAAGGGACCUUCGCGCACUCGAUCUGAGAGCGAGCGAACGAGAGGGAGGGACCAAACAGAGCUUCGAAGACAAGAAAGGAAAGGAAAGGGAAACCCUAGGCGAUGGUAUGCUACAGAGAAAUGUGGGAGGAAUAGCGGAAAGGAUCAUAUCUCUCUCAUAAACUGAAAAUGGAGUAUAGCGAGUGCUUGGCUCUUCUUUCUAUUAUCUGUUGAGAACGGGAAGAGAUAUCUCGUGGUUAUAAGGUUGCGGCUGGCUGAUUGGAGGCUACCGUUCUCUGCGACGCUCUUUAUUUGCUGAGAUGUGUCUCCUAACUCUCCGAACCACACGUAACUCUGAGGUGGAAGGAGUAGCAGAG
rnacentral:misc_RNA from 1 species